rnacentral:rRNA from 1 species
UACGUAGGGUGCAAGCGUUGUCCGGAAUUAUUGGGCGUAAAGAGCUCGUAGGCGGUCUGUCACGUCGGCUGUGAAAACCUGGGCUCAACCCGGGCCUGCAGCCGAUACGGGCAGACUAGAAUUCGGUAGGGGAGACUGGAAUUCCUGGUGUAGCGGUGAAAUGCGCAGAUAUCAGGAGGAACACCGGUGGCGAAGGCGGGUCUCUGGGCCGAUAUUGACGCUGAGGAGCGAAAGCGUGGGGAGCGAACAGG